GCGCAGAUUCAAGCCACAGUGAAUGAUCAGGUUAUGGUGACAUAUAUGAACAUGCACAUGUGGAACAAGAGAAUAAACAAGUUCCUGUUGAAGAGGAACCUCUUUUGAUACCAGUUAUAUCCCAGCCGAAUUUUGAGCAUAAUGUAUUCCAAAACAAUAUUAUACAAGAGGAACUAGCUCAUACUGAUACUUCCCAUACUGAGAACCCCCUUCCCCAGCACGGCAGCACCGCUACCCGGUGCUUCAGAAUGUCUUGGAAUUGCUUCGUCAAAUAAGGGCUACGAAAAAUGACGCUUCAAACGAACAUUUUACUCCUCAUUUGUUGAAGAAGCAGAAGAAACAACUCACCAAAGUCACUACACACAACACCCGUUCCAAGGGCGACUGAGGAGCAUAUUUUCCUUUAGGGCCACUUCUUUUUUCUCUGUUUUUUUCCCCCUGUUUGUUUUUCUAUCUUUGAUGGUUUUGGUGUUGUAUAUGAUAGUGUUUUUGGAGGUGCCAAUCUUGUUAGAUGUCUGAGUCUCCUCUUAAUGUAUUUCCUUUCUUCUCACUUAUAAAAAAAAUCUAUAGUGAGCUAGGUUACUCUCGUGCGAUGUAGAGUUGUGUUGUAGGAAAAAUGAUCAGAAAAUUAUACUACCUCUGUCCCUAAAUAUAGGAGUUUUUU
rnacentral:lncRNA from 1 species